rnacentral:rRNA from 1 species
UACGGGGGGUGCAAGCGUUACUCGGAAUCAUUGGGCGUAAAGGGCGCGUAGGCGGCCAAGUAAGUCAGGUGUGAAAGCCCGGGGCUCAACCUCGGAAGUGCAUUUGAUACUGCUUGGCUUGAGUAUGGGAGAGGGAAGUGGAAUUCCUGGUGUAGAGGUGAAAUUCGUAGAUAUCAGGAGGAACACAGGUGGCGAAGGCGACUUCCUGGACCAAUACUGACGCUGAGGCGCGAAGGCGUGGGGAGCAAACAGG